AACGAACGCUGGCGGCAUGCCUAACACAUGCAAGUCGAACGAGACCUUCGGGUCUAGUGGCGCACGGGUGCGUAACGCGUGGGAACCUGCCCUUAGGUUCGGAAUAACUCCCCGAAAGGGGUGCUAAUACCGGAUAAUGUCUUCGGACCAAAGAUUUAUCGCCUUUGGAUGGGCCCGCGUUGGAUUAGCUAGUUGGUAGGGUAAAAGCCUACCAAGGCGACGAUCCAUAGCUGGUCUGAGAGGAUGAUCAGCCACACUGGGACUGAGACACGGCCCAGACUCCUACGGGAAGCAGCAGUGGGGAAUAUUGGACAAUGGGCGAAAGCCUGAUCCAGCAAUGCCGCGUGAGUGAUGAAGGCCUUAGGGUUGUAAAGCUCUUUUACCCGGGAUGAUAAUGACAGUACCUGGAGAAUAAGCGCCGGCUAACUCCGUG
rnacentral:rRNA from 1 species